rnacentral:misc_RNA from 1 species
GAUGAAGAACGUAGCGAAAUGCGAUAAGUAAUGUGAAUUGCAGAAUUCAGUGAAUCAUCGAAUCUUUGAACGCGCAUUGCGCCCGCCAGUAUUCUGGCGGGCAUGCCUGUUCGAGCGUCAUUUCAACCAUCAAGCCCCCGGCUUGUGUUGGGGACCUGCGGCUGCCGCAGGCCCUGAAAUGCAGUGGCGGGCUCGCUGUCACUCCGAGCGUAGUAGUUACAUCUCGCUCUGGGCGUGCUGCGGGUUCCGGCCGUUAAAAGCCUUAUUUACCCAAGGUUGACCUCGGAUCAGGUAGGAAGACCCGCUGAACUUAAGCAUAUCAAUAAGCGGAGGA